rnacentral:lncRNA from 1 species
GUGAACCCAGGUGAGCAAAAAGCUGCGAGUGCUAGGAAAACCCUAGGCACAGAGAAGGGAAGCAAUGGCUAAAGAUCUCACAGUAAGUCACUUAUAGAUGUAGAUGCCCAUUUCACACUAACCGAAGCUGUUUUCCUUCUCCACUGUACCUGUGAAUAAUUGACCAGCUGAGCAAGUAGAUGUCUUUAAACAAUUACCAGCUUACUCAGAUCUUCAGUACAGAACCAGUCAAGUGAACUCCAGCUGUGUGAGCUGAAUAUUGCAUCUUCCAUUGUGCAGAUUUCCUCUAUCAGUAGUUUAUACUAGGUGCUUGUUUUUUUUUCCUCUUCAGACUAACAAGAUGAGAGAAAGUAACUGUAGCAGUUGUUUAUACAAGAAGAGUCAAUACCUAAAACUGUAUUUAAUUUAAUUUCUACUGGGAAACAGACCAAUGCUGAUUUCUAUUAUUAUUAUUAAGUGAAAAAGGGAGGUGUGUUUUGGAUCAGUUAGCUUUGCCAGAGAGAAAUCACCACUGCUUCUGCUUGCUUUGCUGGGGGAAAAAAAUAAUUGUGAGAGAGGAUGGUUUUUCCCUUCCAACAGCUCUUAUUCCCAAUAUGCAUACGCCUCUUCCCUCAAGAUCUCCUGGGUGCAGGCAGGUGAUCAGCACAAUAUGACUCACAACAGUGGAAGACUUGAAGUCAGCAGCAUCCUUCAAGAAGAUUGGACUGGUUUUCAGCUGGGUAGGCUUCUGUCACUGUUGAAGCAAGAAGAUGAAGCAGCGUCCUGUGAAACAGCAGAGGUAAGAUGUUGGAUGCAUUUUGUUGCAGAUAGAAUCGUUCUUUCUCUCCUGUUUCAAAAUUCCUCAUAGACAGAUCAGCUGGUCAAGCUUCCAUGUCUCAUCUUGACUUUGAAGACAGUCACCAUCUUUGACUGCUGAAUUUCUGAGGUUUCCAGAAUUUCAGUUUCAACAUAGAUGUCUCCUUAAAUCUAAAAACAUGGCAAUUUUUUUUUAUUUUUAUACUUUUUUAAUUUUUUUUUUUUUUUGCUUGGUGAAAUGUAAGAUAAAUUAUUUGCUUUAUGAAAAAAGGUCAAAACCUGAACUGUUUUAAGAGGUAUUCAAUUCAGCAGUUACUGUGACUAACACCAGCUUGAGGAACAGUGCUAAAUUAUUUUGGGGAACCAGAAAUUCAUGUGAAUAGACAUAAUAUUUUUAGGUUUUUGGUUCUAAAUUACCACUCAGGUGGGAAGAAACUGGGAAGCUAUCUGAUGAUUAAUAUGAAAGUACUUUCUGGUUGUCAUCUUACUCUCAGUAAAAAAUAAUAUAUCGCCAAAAAGAAAACUGCAAACCAACAAGCCCUGCAUCACAAUUGGUAGUGACUGCCACACAAGGAGAUGGUGUAUAGAAGAUGAAGAAAAAAAAAGCAACAACAAAUGAGAUGGUUUCACUUCUUCCUUAGGGAGAACAAGAAUUUACAGACAUAGAAGAAGCACCACUCCUAGUACCACAGAUGCUCUAACAAGGACUCAGGUGUAUCACUUGCUUCAUGUUUUUGAACAGAUUGCUAACUGUAUUCUAAACCUGAACCACCUACUGAAGACCUGCAGGAAAAAAAAAAAAAAAAAAAGUGGAAGAAUUGUGGAUAUCCUAAUUUGAGAGGAGGUUAUAGCACAAUAUUAUUAAGAUCAAACUGCCUCUUGCCUCAAAUCAAGAAGAAAACCACUCUUCUUUGACUAAAGCCAGUUCAGGAACAUUUUCUUCUGUCAAAACUUUCAGCCUGUUCUUCCAAGACAUGUAGAGUCAAAGAAAUGGUCUCACCACCUCCAACCCCAGUGCAGACCUCUUGGUCAGCCUUGUCUGAGAUGACUUAGCAUGGGGUAGUGGGAACUCUUAUCUGGCUCAGUGCUCCUGUUGAUGGUGGAUGAAAUGUUUAUUGUGUUGUUCAUCACAGAGAUCAAAAUGGCUUCUGGACUUUGUGCUGGUCUCUCCAGCUCUGAAGAAAAGCAGCAUGGCUUGCCUGACACUCUUGGUACAGAAGCUUCUCCAGCAGAGGUUCCUGCCAAUGAGAGACGAGAUCAGCUCACAUCAGAGGGAGGUCACUGGAUUCCUUGAAAAGAAGAGGUGGCUGUGCGUGUCUUCCUGUCCCUAUGCUUUCCUAAGCUACAGGGUAGCACUGAUCUUCCUCAGCAAGUUCAGUGCCUUGAAGCAACAGGAUCCCUGCCAGCCCACCAGGAUAGUGACAUCUGUGCUCCUGCAUACCAGUGUUUGGGAAGUAGGCAUGAUACCUGACAUCCAGCACAGUCAGGAACGAGCCAAAUCAAGAUGGGAAGGAGAGAAACUCUGGAUCUAUAGAUUGCAGGAAAUGAUUUUUCCAGGAGUAGCUCUUAUUCUAACUAGGAAUUAGAAUUAUUGAAAUGUUGAAUGGCCUGCAAACAAAAAUUUCAGUUCCCAGCUGACUCUGUCCACUAGUUUAUCAACAUAUUUUUGGACUCCACUGAAACAAUCCACGGCAAAGACAACAGAUAGCCCUAGGAAUUUGUGCAGGCUAUUGAGUCUUUCCAUUGUGGGCUGCUGGUUCAAAUCCUAGUGGACCUGUAGGGGAACAAGGAAAAGCUGAUACCAUGACUUUAGCUGUGUGGUAUGAGUUUUCCUCCCUGGGUAUAGGUGUCAGCAACAGAAUUAGCAUUAAUUAGUCCACUUUGAAAUUUCAGCCAAGGUUUGACAUGGCAAAGUGGGGAAGCCUACUGUGCUGCAGACUGAGCUGUGCUUGCUCUGUGGAUGAAAAUAUAGCUUCCCUUUUCCAGGUCCAGUCCAGGCACUUUUCAUUAAUACUGUCACUGUGAAGCCAUAGGGAAAGCUAAGAGAGCUGCUUAAUAACUAGCAAGAACAAUAGAAGAGUAUCAUCAGACUAGGUAAUUGGUUAGAGAUAGUACCCUGGGAAGACAAGGACUAAAAGCAGUGAACUGCAGCCAGCCACACAAUCCAAGGUAACAGGCAGUGAGCUCUGGAUUAGCAACCAAGGCAACUUUAAUAAUUUAACUGUAGCAUUCACAGUAAUUUAACUAUGCUAUCCAGAACACAAAGCUAAUGGUGAUAUAGUGAAUGCAGGUAAUAUUCAGAAAGUUUGUUAAAUGCCAGUACAUAAAAGAGUCUCCGUGGAGAAGGCCAAUAUUCAGAUUUGUUGCUCUUGUUUUCUUUCUCCUUUUUCUCAGAUAGCAAGCAUUUAGUUUGUGAUAGUUAUUUGCUAGCUAGUAAGGGAAGAUGGGCUGUUUCAGAAGUUCCUAUUGACAGCCAGCUUACAGAGUGUAACAGGCUGACACAUUUUGCUGUCUUUGAAAACUGAAUAACAAAUGUUUUUGCUAUUUACAAGCCAGAAAUGAAUCGAUGGAUCUGAGUUAGAGAGCACACUCCCAAAACAUGCCAACACAUUUCUGCAUGCACUGCUUGCAAACUCUGCCUUCAUCCAAAUUAACAUCCUAAUUUGUGAAGGCUGCAAAAAAAAAAAAGUAUAAUUCAGAAUACAGAAUUGUUGUAGCUCAAAACAGACUCUCAAAAUUUAUUUUAUAGCUUGCCCACACACAGAGUUCUACCACUCCACUGCUGAGAAUAAAAUGGUAGAACCUCUCUCUAAGGAUUACACCCACCACUUUAUUGCUGAAGAUGCUAGCCUGAAUAAAAUCCAUGAUCGUGCUCUGUUGCAUUCUCUCACUCUGGGAAGUCAAAUUCUCUUCCAGAAGUGACAGUAUAAAAUGUCUGCUUCUUUUACAACAAUGGUGCUUUGUGUACGUAUUCAUAGGCAGACCUUUUGCUUUAAUGACAAAAAAUGGAUUUUUACAAUCCUUGACUCCCACUAGCAUUGAGGAGUCCAUAAAGUUCGGAAAAAAUGAAUUAGAUUCGAUUGUGACUCACAUGUCCUGAUUGAACCACCGCUGCAAACUCCUACUGCAGCAACAAAUCCUGCUAAUUGUGUUGGGCAAACUAACUACACAGCCUGAGCUGAAGGGAAAAUUUAAACUCCCAAAUAAUACACAUAUUUUUGAAUACAUACUGAGUGCUGCUUUCAAGUUCACAUUGUAGUGGCCUACUGAAUCAGUUCUAGCACAGAUUUGGAGGCCUGUGAAUUCCCUCUGAGCUGGAAACUAUACAGAUCGCAUGUGUUCAUCAGCUGCUGGGGUUAUUUUUCUAAGCACUCUUCAAUGUGAGUGGUAGUGAAAGAUUGUAAAAAUCCAUUUAGUACUUGACUAACUGUAGUUCUAAGCACACACUGAAGAAUAUAAUUUCCAUUGCCACUGAAAGCAUGUGUUUGGAAGAACUGUAUCUAUGAAGCCCACCUGAAUCAUUAAGGUAGUGGUGGGACGGUGAGUGGGGGUGGGAGAGGUAUGCUCAGUUUAUAUGAAAAGAACCAUGUCAGGACAGAUUUUUGCCUAUGAGAAAUGUGUGAGGAAGGAUGUAAAGGGAAAAAAAAAAACAUCUCCAUGACAGUCCUCCCUUCCAGGGACUUUGUCUCUUGGAAGAACCUACUGGAGACAAAGGCAUACUGUGCCUUUGCACAGCUUGGGGGCCUUCACAGCUUUCAUCAUUCUUGCAGCCAUCAACCUGCCUGUAAAGGCUAAUGUUUUGCACUGCACUUGUGUAUUAGCUCUCUGACUGCAAGUCGUCACUUCAAGGAGCUUACACCUCACACCAUGCUUCACGAGCACACCACAGCUGAGUUUCAGUGCUGGAUCUUACUAUUUUAAUUAGAUUGCUAAGUACACUGUGGAUGUUGCUGCUAAACUUAUGUUGACCACAGCAUACACAAAGGUAACCCCGAGCAUCCAGGAUCUAAGAGACAAAAAAAUAGUCAGCCCUGUAGUGGGGUUAAAAGGAAGCUAGAUUUGUCUUUGUUCCACAAAGUGUAGCAUAAACUGCAUAAUUAGUCAUUUUGGCCUGAAGCUUUAUCUACAUGACAAUGUAGCACUACUAUUAGUAAUAGCAAUCCAAAGCAUCUUUUCUGAGUUGACAAAAAUAUUAGGUAUGCUAUUUAUAGCAACCAUUGCACACACUGACAUGAGAAAUAAUUGUUACUACAACAUCCCGUUAGUGUUAUUUUUGUAUUCUGUUCCAAUUUGUAUAUAAAUGAAACCUAUGAACAUUUCCUGCACUGACCUCAUGUCUUUGUGUAGAUGGGCUUUAGACCAGAUCCAAGGAAGUGCUAAAUAAUCAUAUAAGCAGCAAGAACAAAUUCAUGGUUGAGCACCAUUAUUCAUCAUGGUGUAAUAUGUGAUCACUGAGCAGGCAGUGGUGAAGAGGAGGCUCAGGGAAGACCUUAGCACUCUGUACAACUCCAUGAAAGGAGGCUGUGGUGAGGUGGGGGUCAGCCUCUUCUCCUGUGUAAGUAGCGAUAGGACUAGAGGGAAUGGUCUCAAGUGCACCCGGGGAGAUUCAGCUUGGUUAUUAGGAAAAAUUUCUUCUCAAAAUGAGUGGUCAGACACUGGAACAGAGUACCCAGGGAGGUGGAGUCACAGUCCAUGGAGGUGCUCAGAAACAUUUAGCUGUGGUACUUAAGGACAUGGUUUAGUGAGAACUAUUGCUGACUAUUGCAGGUAGACGGCUGGACUAUAUCAUCCUGGAGGCCUUUUCCAACCUCAGUGAUUCUAUGAUUCUAUGAACUUUUCCAUGGAUGUGCUUGGAUGAUUUUUCCUUCUCAUUCCUCUUUGUCUCAUCCUCUCUUCUCAUUACUUAUCUUUAAGGAACAGAAACCAGUCUUGACUUGCUACUGAGAAAACUAGGUACAAGGAGAUGCCUUCUACUUUUCCCUCUGAGAACCUAUUCUCAAAGCUAAAGAAAUUGGCUCUAAAUUG